rnacentral:sRNA from 1 species
CUAAACGAAAAAAAUAAUAUCUACAUAUACAUUUUUGUAACCAUUUUAACAAAUAAAUCCUGGAUUUGGACUUAUUUACAACUCAAUGCCAUUAACAUUAAAUCUUUUCUCUAAAAU